GGAGGGGAGAGAAAGAGAAAGAAGGAGAAAGGGGAUUGCGUCACUUUACCACUCACAAUAUCACCUUUCUGUUCAUUCCACCCCCCCUCUCCGCACUUCUUCUUCUUCAUGACGUUCUUUCUCACUCUUUC
rnacentral:miRNA from 1 species